UACGUAGGGUGCAAGCGUUGUCCGGAAUUAUUGGGCGUAAAGAGCUCGUAGGCGGUUUGUCGCGUCGAAUGUGAAAACCCGGGGCUCAACCCCGGGCCUGCAUUCGAUACGGGCAGACUAGAGUUCGGUAGGGGAGUCUGGAAUUCCUGGUGUAGCGGGUGAAAUGCGCAGAUAUCAGGAGGAACACCGGUGGCGAAGGCGGGACUCUGGGCCGAUACUGACGCUGAGGUGCGAAAGCGUGGGGAGCAAACAGG
rnacentral:rRNA from 1 species